rnacentral:rRNA from 1 species
ACGAACGCUGGCGGCGUGCUUAACACCUGCCAGUCGCACGGUGAUGCUCCAGCUUGCUGGAGUGGAUCAGUGGCGAACGGGUGAGUAACACGUGAGCAACCUGCCCCAGACUCUGGAAUAAGCGCUGGAAACGGCGUCUAAUACUGGAUACGAAACUGGCCCGCAUGGGCAUGGUUUGGAAAGUUUUUCGGUUUGGGAUGGGCUCGCGGCCUAUCAGCUUGUUGGUGAGGUAAUGGCUCACCAAGGCGACGACGGGUAGCCGGCCUGAGAGGGCGACCGGCCACACUGGGACUGAGACACGGCCCAGACUCCUACGGGAGGCAGCAGUGGGGAAUAUUGCACAAUGGGCGAAAGCCUGAUGCAGCGACGCCGCGUGAGGGAUGACGGCCUUCGGGUUGUAAACCUCUUUCAGCAGGGAAGAAGCGAAAGUGACGGUACCUGCAGAAGAAGCACCGGCUAACUACGUG